GGGUUGUGAGGUUAAGCGACUAAGCGUACACGGUGGAUGCCCUGGCAGUCAGAGGCGAUGAAGGACGUGCUAAUCUGCGAUAAGCGUCGGUGAGGUGAUAUGAACCGUUAUAACCGGCGAUUUCCGAAUGGGGAAACCCAGUGUGAUUCGUCACACUAUCAUUAACUGAAUCCAUAGGUUAAUGAGGCGAACCGGGGGAACUGAAACAUCUAAGUACCCCGAGGAAAAGAAAUCAACCGAGAUUCCCCCAGUAGCGGCGAGCGAACGGGGAGGAGCCCAGAGCCUGAAUCAGUGUGUGUGUUAGUGGAAGCGUCUGGAAAGGCGUGCGAUACAGGGUGACAGCCCCGUACACAAAAAUGCACAUAUUGUGAGCUCGAUGAGUAGGGCGGGACACGUGGUAUCCUGUCUGAAUAUGGGGGGACCAUCCUCCAAGGCUAAAUACUCCUGACUGACCGAUAGUGAACCAGUACCGUGAGGGAAAGGCGAAAAGAACCCCGGCGAGGGGAGUGAAAAAGAACCUGAAACCGUGUACGUACAAGCAGUGGGAGCCUCUUAAUGGGGUGACUGCGUACCUUUUGUAUAAUGGGUCAGCGACUUAUAUUCUGUAGCAAGGUUAACCGAAUAGGGGAGCCGAAGGGAAACCGAGUCUUAACUGGGCGUUAAGUUGCAGGGUAUAGACCCGAAACCCGGUGAUCUAGCCAUGGGCAGGUUGAAGGUUGGGUAACACUAACUGGAGGACCGAACCGACUAAUGUUGAAAAAUUAGCGGAUGACUUGUGGCUGGGGGUGAAAGGCCAAUCAAACCGGGAGAUAGCUGGUUCUCCCCGAAAGCUAUUUAGGUAGCGCCUCGUGAAUUCAUCUCCGGGGGUAGAGCACUGUUUCGGCAAGGGGGUCAUCCCGACUUACCAACCCGAUGCAAACUGCGAAUACCGGAGAAUGUUAUCACGGGAGACACACGGCGGGUGCUAACGUCCGUCGUGAAGAGGGAAACAACCCAGACCGCCAGCUAAGGUCCCAAAGUCAUGGUUAAGUGGGAAACGAUGUGGGAAGGCCCAGACAGCCAGGAUGUUGGCUUAGAAGCAGCCAUCAUUUAAAGAAAGCGUAAUAGCUCACUGGUCGAGUCGGCCUGCGCGGAAGAUGUAACGGGGCUAAACCAUGCACCGAAGCUGCGGCAGCGACACUAUGUGUUGUUGGGUAGGGGAGCGUUCUGUAAGCCUGUGAAGGUGGCCUGUGAGGGUUGCUGGAGGUAUCAGAAGUGCGAAUGCUGACAUAAGUAACGAUAAAGCGGGUGAAAARCCCGCUCGCCGGAAGACCAAGGGUUCCUGUCCAACGUUAAUCGGGGCAGGGUGAGUCGACCCCUAAGGCGAGGCCGAAAGGCGUAGUCGAUGGGAAACAGGUUAAUAUUCCUGUACUUGGUGUUACUGCGAAGGGGGGACGGAGAAGGCUAUGUUGGCCGGGCGACGGUUGUCCCGGUUUAAGCGUGUAGGCUGGUUUUCCAGGCAAAUCCGGAAAAUCAAGGCUGAGGCGUGAUGACGAGGCACUACGGUGCUGAAGCGACAAAUGCCCUGCUUCCAGGAAAAGCCUCUAAGCAUCAGGUAACAUCAAAUCGUACCCCAAACCGACACAGGUGGUCAGGUAGAGAAUACCAAGGCGCUUGAGAGAACUCGGGUGAAGGAACUAGGCAAAAUGGUGCCGUAACUUCGGGAGAAGGCACGCUGAUAUGUAGGUGAAGCGACUUGCUCGUGGAGCUGAAAUCAGUCGAAGAUACCAGCUGGCUGCAACUGUUUAUUAAAAACACAGCACUGUGCAAACACGAAAGUGGACGUAUACGGUGUGACGCCUGCCCGGUGCCGGAAGGUUAAUUGAUGGGGUUAGCGGUAACGCGAAGCUCUUGAUCGAAGCCCCGGUAAACGGCGGCCGUAACUAUAACGGUCCUAAGGUAGCGAAAUUCCUUGUCGGGUAAGUUCCGACCUGCACGAAUGGCGUAAUGAUGGCCAGGCUGUCUCCACCCGAGACUCAGUGAAAUUGAACUCGCUGUGAAGAUGCAGUGUACCCGCGGCAAGACGGAAAGACCCCGUGAACCUUUACUAUAGCUUGACACUGAACAUUGAGCCUUGAUGUGUAGGAUAGGUGGGAGGCUUUGAAGUGUGGACGCCAGUCUGCAUGGAGCCGACCUUGAAAUACCACCCUUUAAUGUUUGAUGUUCUAACGUGGGCCCCUUACCGGGGUUGCGGACAGUGUCUGGUGGGUAGUUUGACUGGGGCGGUCUCCUCCUAAAGAGUAACGGAGGAGCACGAAGGUUGGCUAAUCCUGGUCGGACAUCAGGAGGUUAGUGCAAUGGCAUAAGCCAGCUUGACUGCGAGCGUGACGGCGCGAGCAGGUGCGAAAGCAGGUCAUAGUGAUCCGGUGGUUCUGAAUGGAAGGGCCAUCGCUCAACGGAUAAAAGGUACUCCGGGGAUAACAGGCUGAUACCGCCCAAGAGUUCAUAUCGACGGCGGUGUUUGGCACCUCGAUGUCGGCUCAUCACAUCCUGGGGCUGAAGUAGGUCCCAAGGGUAUGGCUGUUCGCCAUUUAAAGUGGUACGCGAGCUGGGUUUAGAACGUCGUGAGACAGUUCGGUCCCUAUCUGCCGUGGGCGCUGGAGAACUGAGGGGGGCUGCUCCUAGUACGAGAGGACCGGAGUGGACGCAUCACUGGUGUUCGGGUUGUCAUGCCAAUGGCACUGCCCGGUAGCUAAAUGCGGAAGAGAUAAGUGCUGAAAGCAUCUAAGCACGAAACUUGCCCCGAGAUGAGUUCUCCCUGACUCCUUGAGAGUCCUGAAGGAACGUUGAAGACGACGACGUUGAUAGGCCGGGUGUGUAAGCGCAGCGAUGCGUUGAGCUAACCGGUACUAAUGAACCGUGAGGCUUAACCUUACAACGCCGAAG
rnacentral:rRNA from 1 species